UGGCACUCCAGAUGUUGUAGACUACAUCUCUCCUAAUGCGCUUGUAGUUAUAAAGCCGGCAAAGCAUUAGGGGAGAUGUAGUUUACAACAUCAGGAGUACUG